rnacentral:rRNA from 1 species
UCUCCGGGGGUAGAGCACUGUUUCGGCUAGGGGGCCAUCCCGGCUUACCAACCCGAUGCAAACUGCGAAUACCGGAGAAUGUUAUCACGGGAGACACACGGCGGGUGCUAACGUCCGUCGUGAAGAGGGAAACAACCCAGACCGCCAGCUAAGGUCCCAAAGUCAUGGUUAAGUGGGAAACGAUGUGGGAAGGCCCAGACAGCCAGGAUGUUGGCUUAGAAGCAGCCAUCAUUUAAAGAAAGCGUAAUAGCUCACUGGUCGAGUCGGCCUGCGCGGAAGAUGUAACGGGGCUAAACCAUGCACCGAAGCUGCGGCAGCGACGCUGAUGCGUUGUUGGGUAGGGGAGCGUUCUGUAAGCCUGCGAAGGUGGCCUGUGAGGGUUGCUGGAGGUAUCAGAAGUGCGAAUGCUGACAUAAGUAACGAUAAAGCGGGUGAAAAGCCCGCUCGCCGGAAGACCAAGGGUUCCUGUCCAACGUUAAUCGGGGCAGGGUGAGUCGACCCCUAAGGCGAGGCCGAAAGGCGUAGUCGAUGGGAAACGGGUUAAUAUUCCCGUACUUGGUGUUAC